AUGGUUAAGUUAGAAAGGGCGCACGGUGAAUGCCUUGGCACUAGGAGCCGAUGAAGGACGGGACUAACACCGAUAUGCUUCGGGGAGCUGUAAGUGAGCUUUGAUCCGGAGAUUUCCGAAUGGGGAAACCCACUGUUCGUAAUGGAACAGUAUCUUUAUCUGAAUACAUAGGAUAUUGAAGGCAGACCCGGGGAACUGAAACAUCUAAGUACCCGGAGGAAGAGAAAGCAAAUGCGAUUUCCUGAGUAGCGGCGAGCGAAACGGAAUUAGCCCAAACCAAGAGGCUUGCCUCUUGGGGUUGUAGGACACUCUAUACGGAGUUACAAAGGAACGAAGUAAAUGAAGCGACCUGGAAAGGUCCGUCGAAGAAGGUAACAACCCUGUAGUUGAAACUUCGUUCCCUCUUGAGUGGAUCCUGAGUACGGCGGAACACGUGAAAUUCCGUCGGAAGCUGGGAGGACCAUCUCCCAAGGCUAAAUACUACCUAGUGACCGAUAGUGAACCAGUACCGUGAGGGAAAGGUGAAAAGCACCCCGGAAGGGGGAGUGAAAGAGAUCCUGAAACCGUGUGCCUACAAGUAGUCAGAGCCCGUUAAUGGGUGAUGGCGUGCCUUUGUAGAAUGAACCGGCGAGUUACGAUCCCAUGCAAGGUUAAGCUGAUAAGGCGGAGCCGUAGCGAAAGCGAGUCUGAAUAGGGCGUUUAGUAUGUGGUUGUAGACCCGAAACCAGGUGAUCUACCCAUGUCCAGGGUGAAGUUCAGGUAACACUGAAUGGAGGCCCGAACCCACGCACGUUGAAAAGUGCGGGGAUGAGGUGUGGGUAGCGGAGAAAUUCCAAUCGAACCUGGAGAUAGCUGGUUCUCUCCGAAAUAGCUUUAGGGCUAGCCUCAUGUUGUGAGAGUCUUGGAGGUAGAGCACUGAUUGGACUAGGGGCCCCCAACGGGUUACCGAAUUCAGUCAAACUCCGAAUGCCAAAGACUUAUCCAUGGGAGUCAGACUGCGAGUGAUAAGAUCCGUAGUCAAAAGGGAAACAGCCCAGACCACCAGCUAAGGUCCCCAAGUAUACGUUAAGUGGAAAAGGAUGUGGAGUUGCUUAGACAACCAGGAUGUUGGCUUAGAAGCAGCCACCAUUUAAAGAGUGCGUAAUAGCUCACUGGUCGAGUGACUCUGCGCCGAAAAUGUACCGGGGCUAAACGUAUCACCGAAGCUGUGGAUUGACAUCUUUGAUGUCAGUGGUAGGAGAGCGUUCUAAGUGCUGUGAAGUCAGACCGUAAGGACUGGUGGAGCGCUUAGAAGUGAGAAUGCCGGUAUGAGUAGCGAAAGACAAGUGAGAAUCUUGUCCACCGAAUGCCUAAGGUUUCCUGAGGAAGGCUCGUCCGCUCAGGGUUAGUCGGGACCUAAGCCGAGGCUGAAAAGCGUAGGCGAUGGCCAACAGGUUGAUAUUCCUGUACCACCUCCCCGCCGUUUGAGUAAUGGGGGGACGCAGUAGGAUAGGGUAAGCGCGCUGCUGGAUAUGCGCGUUCAAGCAGUUAGGCUGAUGAGUAGGCAAAUCCGCUCAUCAUAAAGGCUGAGCUGUGAUGACGAGGGAAUUAUAGUACCGAAGUUCCUGAUUCCACACUGCCAAGAAAAGCCUCUAGCGAGGCGGGAGGUGCCCGUACCGCAAACCGACACAGGUAGGCGAGGAGAGAAUCCUAAGGUGAUCGAGAGAACUCUCGUUAAGGAACUCGGCAAAAUGACCCCGUAACUUCGGGAGAAGGGGUGCUCUGGUAGGGUGUAUAGCCCGAGAGAGCCGCAGUGAAUAGGCCCAGGCGACUGUUUAGCAAAAACACAGGUCUCUGCGAAGCCGCAAGGCGAAGUAUAGGGGCUGACGCCUGCCCGGUGCUGGAAGGUUAAGAGGAGGGGUUAUCCUUUGGGAGAAGCUCUGAAUCGAAGCCCCAGUAAACGGCGGCCGUAACUAUAACGGUCCUAAGGUAGCGAAAUUCCUUGUCGGGUAAGUUCCGACCCGCACGAAAGGCGUAACGAUCUGGGCACUGUCUCAACGAGAGACUCGGUGAAAUUAUAGUACCUGUGAAGAUGCAGGUUACCCGCGACAGGACGGAAAGACCCCGUGGAGCUUUACUGUAGCCUGAUAUUGAAUUUUGGUACAGCUUGUACAGGAUAGGUAGGAGCCUGAGAAGCCGGAGCGCUAGCUUCGGUGGAGGCGUCGGUGGGAUACUACCCUGGCUGUAUUGAAAUUCUAACCCGCGGCCCUGAUCGGGCCGGGAGACAGUGUCAGGUGGGCAGUUUGACUGGGGCGGUCGCCUCCUAAAAUGUAACGGAGGCGCCCAAAGGUUCCCUCAGAAUGGUUGGAAAUCAUUCGUAGAGUGUAAAGGCACAAGGGAGCUUGACUGCGAGACCUACAAGUCGAGCAGGGACGAAAGUCGGGCUUAGUGAUCCGGUGGUUCCGCAUGGAAGGGCCAUCGCUCAACGGAUAAAAGCUACCCCGGGGAUAACAGGCUUAUCUCCCCCAAGAGUCCACAUCGACGGGGAGGUUUGGCACCUCGAUGUCGGCUCAUCGCAUCCUGGGGCUGUAGUCGGUCCCAAGGGUUGGGCUGUUCGCCCAUUAAAGCGGUACGCGAGCUGGGUUCAGAACGUCGUGAGACAGUUCGGUCCCUAUCCGUCGUGGGCGUAGGAAAUUUGAGAGGAGCUGUCCUUAGUACGAGAGGACCGGGAUGGACACACCGCUGGUGUACCAGUUGUCUUGCCAAAGGCAUCGCUGGGUAGCUAUGUGUGGACGGGAUAAGUGCUGAAAGCAUCUAAGCAUGAAGCCCCCCUCAAGAUGAGAUUUCCCAUAGCGCAAGCUAGUAAGAUCCCUGAAAGAUGAUCAGGUUGAUAGGUCAGAGGUGGAAGCGUGGCGACAUGUGUAGCUGACUGAUACUAAUCGAUCGAGGACUUAACCAAA
rnacentral:rRNA from 1 species